AUUGAACGCUGGCGGCAGGCUUAACACAUGCAAGUCGAGCGGGGGAAGGUAGCUUGCUACCGGACCUAGCGGCGGACGGGUGAGUAAUGCUUAGGAAUCUGCCUAUUAGUGGGGGACAACAUCUCGAAAGGGAUGCUAAUACCGCAUACGUCCUACGGGAGAAAGCAGGGGAUCUUCGGACCUUGCGCUAAUAGAUGAGCCUAAGUCGGAUUAGCUAGUUGGUGGGGUAAAGGCCUACCAAGGCGACGAUCUGUAGCGGGUCGGAGAGGAUGAUCCGCCACACUGGGACUGAGACACGGCCCAGACUCCUACGGGAGGCAGCAGUGGGGAAUAUUGGACAAUGGGGGGAACCCUGAUCCAGCCAUGCCGCGUGUGUGAAGGAGGCCUUAUGGUUGUAAAGCACUUUAAGCGAGGAGGAGGCUACUUUAGUUAAUACCUAGAGAUAGUGGACGUUACUCGCAGAAUAAGCACCGGCUAACUCUGUGCCAGCAGCCGCCGUAA
rnacentral:rRNA from 1 species